rnacentral:rRNA from 1 species
CACUCAGUGGAGGAAUGCCAAGCAACCGCGAUUGCUCUAGUAACGGCGAGUGAACUGGCAAGACCCAAGGCUCAACCCGAACGGAUCCCAACUGCGCCUCUGCCCUCGGGCACCUGUGCAGCCGGCUACGCUGUGGUUAUCCGAAGCUGUGGGCUGAAUGGAGCGGGCAGUCAUGUGCUGAGGCUGGCCGAGGUCCCAGGAAGGUGCCCUGGAAUGGACCGCCACGGAGGGAUACUGUCCCGUACUCUGUCGUGGGCCUUGGCCGCCCCGGUGCUACUGUCUGUAUCCACGAGUAGAUCUGCUUGGGACUGCAGUUUGAAGUGCGACAUGUAUCCGUCGCAAGGUGCAAUACCGCUGUGGGACCGAUAGCGCACAAGUAGAGUGAUUGAAGGAUGCAAAGGACUUUGCAAAGAGGGUUAAAAGUCCCUGAAGCCUCGGCAGGAACGGUGGAGUGUGGUGCUGUGCUGUGGGCCUCGUGCCCCAAGGACCAAGGCGGCCUCGGGCCAGCCCCGCGCUGGCCGCUGAGCCCUUCGCCGAAGCGAUGGAUGCAGUCGCGGUAGAGCUCUUACGUGGGUGACAUUCGGCCUGUCAGGGCCUGAGGCUCGCUGAUGAACCUGGUGUGUCUCCGGGCAUGCCAGUCGCCACCGUUCCGCUCCCGGCUCAGGGGCUGGUGGACGUGCGGGGGCCUGCCACCUCCCGGUGGCGGCCGCCGUGCGCCCUGGCCGGCCCCCCGGACGGAGCGUGGUGCCAGCUGACGAAGGCAGCGGAGCUUGGUCGAUCAGUGCCGCUCUCUGCCCGUCUUGAAACACGGACCAAGGAGUCUAUGGAGCUUGCAGGUUGGUAAGCCGAAACUGUGCCCGAGGCGUGGUGAAGGCGAGCCUUCCUUCCAGACGGCAUGGAGCUACGUGCGUGAGGUGCCUGCAUGGAACACCGGCCCCCGCGUCCAGUGGACGGGGUUUUGAGUGAUGGCAAGGUCCAUGGGACCCGAAAGGUGGUGAACUAUACCGUGCCACGACGAAGCCAUGGGAAACUGUGGUGGAGGUCGGUCGCUGUUCUGACGUGCAAAUUGUGUAGCCUGAGCUCGGCAUAGGGGUGAAAGGCCAAUCGAACCACCUAGUAGCUGGUUUCCCUCGAAGUUUCCCUCAGGAUAGCUGGGCUCGAGUGCUUGAGUGAUCCUCCAGAGUGGUUACGUCCGGUAAAGCAACGCAUGAGAGGCAUUGCGGGGAGCCUCUGCUCCUCGACCUAUCCUCGAACUGUGAAUGGGCGAGCCGUGAGGCAUGCUUCUUCAACCGAAUGCCCGCAGUCCGGCCCCGUCCGGUCCUGCGGGCGGCUCUGAGCAUGUUCCGUGCGAUCGAUAGACGGCUGUAUGUGGCUAUGCCUCCCAGUCCCUGGGCUCAGGUCCGUCGAGCAGGCACGCGGAACCAGUCCAGAAAUCCAAGGCUGAAACGAUGUAUCUGUCGCUCAUCACCAUCCGGUGGGGUGUCUGCAUUCGGUUCAGUGCGGGAACCUUGGUGCUUCGGAGCUGUAUGCAUUGUGGAUCGUGGGCGCGGAGACCCAACGGACCAAGGCGUCGACCCUCCGGGAGUCCGCCCUGUCGAUACCGUUGGCGUCCUCUCCCCCGGCCACGGCAACUGGAUCGGUGGUUUCUGUGUGACCCUCGGCAGGAGACAUAUGGCGGUGCGACACAUCGCGGAAGCGAAGACCGGAGGGCGAGAUCGAUGGGGCUCUCAACACGAUCGGGUGUCCAUGCCCGUGUUACUGUUGCCCUUGGGCCGGGGCCGGGAUGUACGAUCGCCCGAUAUGAGAGGGUUAACCCGUUCGAGCCGGUGUGGCCGCGCGAGAUGCUGCUGUGAGCGUGAGGAACAAGUGUGCCUAUGUGGACCAUGACUGGUAAGCAGUGCUGGUGAUGCGGGGUGCUCCGAGAGCGGACUUACAGUUCCAGAGUGCUGGCUCAUACUCAGAUCCCACAAAGGAUGUUGCAUGCUAUGGAUAGCAGGUCGGUGGCCAUGAAGGUUGGAACCCGCUAAGGAAUGUGUAACAACUCACCUGCCGAAGUGUGCAGUUCCGAAAAUGGAUGGUGCCCAAGUCAGCGAAGCUGAACUCGCCUCACAGUCCGCCAAUGCUGUGGCAUUGAGCAAUCGAGAGCAGAGCAUCGUUGUGUAGAAAGGACUUGGGAGACCGCAGCGCUGGUCGGGGCCAACCCCGGCUGGAGCGCCUCCCGGCGCAGAUCUUGGUUGUAGUAGCGAGUACUCCAUCGAGACAGGGGCGGAACAACCCCGCUGUGUGUGGUUGAGGGCUGGAGUGGAGCAGGCUUCCGUAUCAAACAGCCGUUGAAUGCGGGUCAGUCGACCGUGAGCCAAGUGGUAAAUCACCGAGCAACCAAAGCUGUCAAUGGCCUCCGGGCCGACCUCCGUGUGCGAUGCCGCCGCCCCUCGUUCUGCCGAGCCGCCAUGAGGAAGAGGUCACCGGACGUGUCUGUCCCACGGGAGGCAACACGGGAGCUGUGGAGCUUGAAGCGACGAGAGACGCCCAAGGCACGGCGGACAACCCUUCUCAGGGAGACGCCCGGGCUCCGGCCCGAAACGGUGUGCAGCCUGUGGCUUUGCAAUACGUGGGUCUAUGAUGAUGAUGUGCGCAUGGCAAGGCAAAGCGGCAACGAUGGUGGUGCGGUGUGCUCCGAUGGAGGCGCCCGCCCGGAGGACUCCUGUCUGACGGGCGUGGCAAACAGGAAAGCAAGUGCAACAUUCUGCUACAGUGGGCUUGGAACACAUCGAGAGUGGCGACACUGGUGGACUGGUUGAGCAAGCAGGCCAAGGGGCAGUGCACCCCCCGGGGAGUUCUCGUUUCCUCCUGAUGCAAGGCUCAUGUGGGCUAUCGAUCGGCAUGACAGAUGGUGGUGUACGCCCUCCGCCCAGCAAGGCAGCACGCCCUCAGUGCUGGUGGUGUGGCUCCGGUUGUGAUCGAAAGAAAAGAAGACCCUUCGGUGGUCACUGGCCCCACGGAACAGCCUGCAGGACAAAGUCUUCCUGGUCCCUGACUCUCGUACUGUAUCACCGCAGCCGGUCUCCUCGGCUUGACGCCGCUGGUCGACGGAUUUGAAUGCAGCUAAGGGAAGUCGGCAAACUAGCCAUGUACCUUCGGAAGAUGUGGUGGCUCCAGAGGCCAAGACACUGGGCCCCGCUGGGGGCGGUCGUAUCGUGUGGGGAUCGUCUGGAAUAGCGGCUUCGGUCGUUCGUGACAGGUGGAACUCGCAAUGACCAUCGUUGUCCCAGUGGGGGGCCGUGGGCGUCCUCGGGCGUCUGCGGUCCGUCCCGGUGGCUGCGUAGUGGCCCGCUUGGAACUGUUGCUGUGCAGGGGAAUCUGACUGUUUAAUUGAAACCCAGCUUUGUGAUCGGGACCAGCUGGCUGGUCCCGUGAGGUGACUUCUGCCCAGUGCUCUGAUUGUCAAUGCGAAGAGACUCAGUCAAGCGCGGGUAAACGGCGGGAGUAACUAUGACUCUCUUAAGGUAGCCAAAUGCCUCGUCAACCAAUUAUUGACGCGCAUGAAUGGAUCAACGAGAUUCCUGCUGUCCCUAACUGCUGUCCGGGAACCAACAGCCAAGGGAACGGGCUUGGAU